UCGGGAAUUUUGGGCAAUGGGCGAAAGCCUGACCCAGCAACGCCGCGUGAAGGAUGAAGUAUUUCGGUAUGUAAACUUCGAAAGAAUAGGAAGAAUAAAUGACGGUACUAUUUAUAAGGUCCGGCUAAUUACGUGCCAGCAGCCGCGGUAAUACGUAGGGACCAAGCGUUGUUCGGAUUUACUGGGCGUAAAGGGCGCGUAGGCGGCAAUUCAAGUCAUCUGUGAAAUCUCCGGGCUUAACUCGGAACGGUCAGAUGAUACUGCUUUGCUAGAGUGCAGAAGGGGCAAUCGGAAUUCUUGGUGUAGCGGUGAAAUGCGUAGAUAUCAAGAGGAACACCUGAGGUGAAGACGGGUUGCUGGGCUGACACUGACGCUGAGGCGCGAAAGCCAGGGGAGCAAACGGGAUUAGAUACCCACGUAGUCCCUGAGCGGGCUGGCAAGGCGCAU
rnacentral:rRNA from 1 species